GAUGAACGCUGGCGGCGUGCCUAAUACAUGCAAGUCGAGCGAACGGACGAGAAGCUUGCUUCUCUGAUGUUAGCGACGGACGGGUGAGUAACACGUGGAUAACCUACCUAUAAGACUGGGAUAACUUCGGGAAACCGGAGCUAAUACCGGAUAAUAUUUUGAACCGCAUGGUUCAAAAGUGAAAGACGGUCUUGCUGUCACUUAUAGAUGGAUCCGCGCUGCAUUAGCUAGUUGGUAAGGUAACGGCUUACCAAGGCAACGAUGCAUAGCCGACCUGAGAGGGUGAUCGGCCACACUGGAACUGAGACACGGUCCAGACUCCUACGGGAGGCAGCAGUAGGGAAUCUUCCGCAAUGGUCGAAAGCCUGACGGAGCAACGCCGCGUGAGUGAUGAAGGUCUUCGGAUCGUAAAACUCUGUUAUUAGGGAAGAACAUAUGUGUAAGUAACUGUGCACAUCUUGACGGUACCUAAUCAGAAAGCCACGGCUAACUACGUG
rnacentral:rRNA from 1 species